GACAGAGGGUGCAAACGUUGUUCGGAAUUACUGGGCGUAAAGCGCGUGUAGGCAGCUUCGCAAGUCGGAUGUGAAAGCCCUGGGCUCAACCUAGGAAGUGCACUCGAAACUGCGAGGCUUGAGUCUCGGAGAGGGUCGCGGAAUUCUCGGUGUAGAGGUGAAAUUCGUAGAUAUCGAGAGGAACACCGGUGGCUAAGGCGGCGACCUGGACGAUGACUGACGCUGAGACGCGAAAGCGUGGGGAGCAAACAGG
rnacentral:rRNA from 1 species